rnacentral:rRNA from 1 species
UACGUAGGGCGCAAGCGUUGUCCGGAAUUAUUGGGUGUAAAGAGCUCGUAGGCGGUUUGUCGCGUCGGAUGUGAAAGCCCGGGGCUUAACCCCGGGUCUGCAUUCGAUACGGGCAGACUAGAGUGUGGUAGGGGAGAUCGGAAUUCCUGGUGUAGCGGUGAAAUGCGCAGAUAUCAGGAGGAACACCGAUGGCGAAGGCAGGUCUCUGGGCCAUAACUGACGCUGAGAAGCGAAAGCAUGGGGAGCGAACAGG